AUCAAUCGUCAUAUAAGAAUUAUAAAGAAUGUAUCUCAAAAUAUCUUAACAAUUGUCAAAUAUAUCAGAGUAUAAACAUCCCAAGCUGAACAAAUGGUGUGUGCACUGCAAUCUUUCCGAGCUCCUCCUUUGAAAAACUGAGUACCUGAAACAAAACUGAAAACCAUAAGCACGAAGCUUAGUGAGCUCCCCCAAACUACCACAUACCAUGCAAUAACAUAUAAACCACAUACUGGGCCCUGCCCACUGCAUCGGACCGAAGUCCGGGCUAACUAAGGCCUUGCCCCCUCCAUCGAACCGAAGUUCGAAGCUGACUGACUGGGACCUUGUCCCCUACAUCGGACCGAAGUCCGAAGCUGACUGAUUGGGACCUUGUCCCCUACAUCGGACCGAAGUCUGAAGCUGACUGAAUGAACACAGCAUAGCAUAACAUAUCAACUAGCAUAAACACAUAAAUCCUGUCUGAGCCACGGAGGCGUCAAACAUACUAACUACUGCAUUGGACCGAAGUCCUGAAACCACUGCUAACUGAACGGGCCGACAUUGUGCCCUUAGACCCGUUCCUACUGGAAGGAAACUCACCUCACAAUGCUGAAGUCCCGUAGACACAAUCCCACACUGCUGAAGUCCCGCAGACUCCACCCCAGCUGCUGGUUGACAGAUUCCCGAACUGUCAACACCAAAUAACACCCAAUUAAUAAUUGGGUUCUAACACAUAACUAUAAAUACAUGCUUUGGAUAAUUACUACAUUACCCCUAGCUUGGCUUACCCAAGCCCAAGGCCCAAUCCAUAGGCCCAAAGUCAACUAGGGAUCAAAGCCCAACAUAUGGCCCAAUUUUCCAAAUUGGGCCCAAACCUCUACAUGGACUUCCCUUAAGGCCCAAAUGUUCAGUCUAGUCCAACAUGUCCCAUUUUAAGGGCCCAAUAUCAUACAAUCCUCUCGGCCCUAACUAUAGCCCAUCCAUGGCCCAAUUUUCCAAAUUGGGCCCAAUCCUUCAUAUGGGCCUUACCCUAAAGCCCAACUAAUUACUCUAGUCCAUUUGAUUAUUCUCGGAUGGCCCAACACAAAGCCCAAGUGAAAUUAGGGUUUCACAUCAAAUGAUAACUAGGGUUAAGUGUUUCUUACUUAACCCACUAAGGACUUAACACACUAGGGANGAGUCCAUUAUUGCUUAGGUUAAUUUCUGCCAAUGAUUAUUAUUUAAUGUUUCACUUAUUAAAUAAUUCUCGUGUGUGUGUGUCCCCAUAACUUCUCAAGUUUAGGGUUUCCUCACUUAACCCAUUAAGGACUUAAUCAAUUAAUUCAUUUACUCUAUUAGAUAAAUAGCAUGGAAUAAUUUGGGCUUAAUUCACAAUCCAAUCCCAAUGGUCCAUAAGUGGGCCCAAUAAGUCUAAGGCCCAAUUACUCACAAUUAGGGUUUUCUAAACCCUAAUUAGGGUUUUCACUCAAACAUGGCCCAAUAAGCCCAAAACUAAUCUCUAGGCCCAUUAGGGUUUUUGCUUGUGGGGCACCACCCACUACCACCUCGGGUAGUGGUGGUCAAUGGCGGUUCGAGGCGGCGGCCACCACCUUACGGUGGUGGUUUAUUUCAUUUUCAUUAUUCCAAAUUCAAAUUACAUUUUACAAUGCUAAAUCUCAAUACCCACACACACACACACACACUAAAAUAAUCUAAACACACACAAACUAAUCACACCCACACACCAUGGCGGCAGGUAGCUAAGCUUGGCGGCAGCCACCAUGGCUGGCGGCCAUGGUGGGUUCUUCCUCCAUUUUCCGGUCAUCAAACAGCGGCACAGCGACGGCAGCCACCAUUUCUAACGGUGACGGCAGUGGUUCCUACCCAAAAUCACGCAUACUACAACAUAAUUAAUAAGCACACACACACACAGAGCCACCUCCUACGGUGGCUAGUGGCGGCAAAUGGGGCAGAAAACGAUGGCAACCACCAUCAUGAGGUGGUGGCGAUGGGUUUCUAGGUCUGAGCUUACACAUACAACCUGUGGCAGCAACACAUACAUGAAACGACUCGAGAUCAAGCCCCCAACAGCCGACUAGGAGGCUGUUAUCAUCGAAAAGUCGCACACAUCGGCCCCAUAGCCACCGACGUCGACAAUGACGCUUCCGGCGUCUUACCCACAGUAAACAACGAAAGAGGGAGAAGAGGGUGGUUUGCAGAGGACUAACCGAGAGUUUCUGGUGGCUCACGACCCACCCACGACGAGUAACGGGUUUGUCUCUGGUUCUCGACGGUUCUCUAGCGGCCCCCGACAUUUCCUGCAGCAGACGUCGCAAGGCGGCCUUCAUCGGCAGUGUAGCAGUCGGCGAUCGGACCUGAGAUGCAAGCGGCGGUCGAUUAACACUUGCCGAUCAAUAAACGAGAGAGAAGCGGGAGAGGCGGCCGACGGCUGGAACAUUUUUUGUAGGAUUAGGGUUUCAUGUCUCCAAAAU
rnacentral:lncRNA from 1 species